UACAGAGACCUCAAGCGUUAUCCGGAUUUAUUGGGCGUAAAGGGUCCGCAGGUGGUCUGGCGCGUCAUAAGUUAAAUGUGUGGGCUCAACCUACAUACCGCUUGUGAUACGGCCAGACUCGAGACUGGGAGAGGCAAGCGGAAUUACCGGUGUAGUAGUAAAAUGCGUUAAUAUCGGUAAGAACACCAAAUGCGAAGGCAGCUUGCUGGAACAGUUCUGACACUCAGGGACGAAAGCGUGGGGAGCGAAAGGG
rnacentral:rRNA from 1 species